rnacentral:lncRNA from 1 species
UAGAACCGAACCAACUUCUCAGUGUGAGGGAAGCAUUACUGGAAGUCAGAUUCCUAGAAGGGAAUCAACCCCAACUUCUGAAGGGAUCAUUACUGGAGAUCAAAUUUCUACAAGGGAAUUAACCUUCACCCCUGAUAGGAUCAUUACUGGAAAUCAAACUUUGAGAAAGGAAUCAACCUUCACCCCUGAUAGGAUCAUUACUGGAAAUCAAAUUUCUAGAAGGGAAUCAAGCUUUGCUUCUAGUGGCGUCAUUACUGGAGAUCAAAUUUCUAGAAGGGAAUCAACUUCUGCUUCUGAUGGGAUCAUUACUGGAAACGUAAUUACUAGAAGGGAAUCAACUG